GGGUAAUGAAUAUUUACCGAGACUUCGCGGUGGUUGUCACGGGCUUGAAGGGAGUGCUGGGUCUUGACAGUUUAGAUGGUAUCUGUUUACUCACUGGCAUUUUAUAAUCUCACCACCCUCAUUUCCAACCAUUUCAGGCCCAAGGUAGCUUGUGGAUAGCAGAUAUCGUCAAGGAUUAUAGUCGGCUUUACUACUCCAAAAACUGUAAGUUUAUUGCCUUUGUGUACUUUUGUUCCUUGUGGGCCCACGAGUCACUGUAAAGUAAAUUUUAUAUCCCGGUUAUCUAUGUUAUAGUACGUAUGAAUUUAUUUAGUUUUAUAUUGCAAAAAUUAUUUACCGAUGACUCUAUAAAUAUUGUUUUACAAGAAAUUAUAAUAUUUUAUUGAAUAUUUUUAUUUUAUUCAAAUAGUUGC
rnacentral:lncRNA from 1 species